rnacentral:rRNA from 1 species
UACGAAGGGUGCAAACGUUGCUCGGAAUCAUUGGGCGUAAAGCGCACGUAGGCGGCUUUGCAAGUCGGAUGUGAAAUCCCUCGGCUCAACCAAGGAAGUGCAUCCGAAACUGCAGAGCUUGAGUACUUAAGAGGAUCGCGGAAUUCCCGGUGUAGAGGUGAAAUUCGUAGAUAUCGGGAGGAACACCAGUGGCGAAGGCGGCGAUCUGGGAAGAUACUGACGCUGAGGCGCGAAAGCCAGGGGAGCGAACAGG